CUUCUCUGAUGUUAGCGGCGGACGGGUGAGUAACACGUGGGUAACCUACCUAUAAGACUGGGAUAACUCCGGGAAACCGGGGCUAAUACCGGAUAAUAUUUUGAACCGCAUGGUUCGAUAGUGAAAGACGGUUUCGGCUGUCACUUAUAGAUGGACCCGCGCCGUAUUAGCUAGUUGGUAAGGUAACGGCUUACCAAGGCGACGAUACGUAGCCGACCUGAGAGGGUGAUCGGCCACACUGGAACUGAGACACGGUCCAGACUCCUACGGGAGGCAGCAGUA
rnacentral:rRNA from 1 species